rnacentral:rRNA from 1 species
AUUGAACGCUGGCGGAAUGCUUUAUACAUGCAAGUCGAACGGCAGCACGGACUUCGGUCUGGUGGCGAGUGGCGAACGGGUGAGUAAUGUAUCGGAACGUGCCCAGUCGAGGGGGACAACGUAGUGAAAAUUACGCUAAUACAGCAUACGAUCUAUGGCUGAACGCGGGGGAUCGCAAGACCUCGCGCGCUUGGAGCGGCCGGUAUCUGAUUAGGUAGUUGGGGGGGAAAAGGCCCACCACGCCAACGAUCUGUAGCUGAGCUGAGGUGACGAACAGCCACACUGGUACUGAGACACGGCCCAGACUCAUACGGGAGGCAGCAGUGGGGAAUUUUGGACAAUGGGCGAAAGCCUGAUCCAGCCAUUCCGCGUGCAGGAGGAAGGUCUUCGGGUUGUAAACUGCUUUUGUACAGAACGAAAAGGUUUGUACUAAUACUAGGAGCUCAUGACGGUACUGUAAGAAUAAGCACCGGCUAACUACGUGCCAGCAGCCGCCGUAA